AUACGUAGGGAGCGAGCGUUGUCCGGAAUUACUGGGUGUCAAGGGAGCGUAGGCGGGAGUGCAAGUCAGAUGUGAAAUACAUGGGCUCAAACCACGGGCUGCAUUUGAAACUGCAUUUCUUGAGUGAAGGAGAGGUAAGCGGGAUUCCAGGUGUAGUGGUUAAAUGCGUAGAUAUCAGGAGGAACACCGGUGGCGAAGGCGGCUUACUGGGCUUUUACUGACGCUGAGGCUCGAAAGCGUGGGGAGCAAACAGGAUUAGAUACCCUGGUAGUCCACGCUGUAAACGAUGAUUACUAGGUGUGGGUGGACUGACCCCAUCUGUGCCGGAGUUAACACAUUAAGUAAUCCACCUGGGGAGUACGGCCGCAAGGUUGAAACUCAAAUGAAUUGACGGGG
rnacentral:rRNA from 1 species